AUAGUGGAAAGGCAUACCUCCACCGGGAUUCGAAGACAUGAAACUACCGAUUUGCGUUUGUUGUAAAGAGGAUCCCCCACGUGCUUCUCCACUUUCGUGGCUUGCCUUCGUAAUAUUAUGCUUUUCCACUAAGUGUCGAUUAAGAGUACCCGUGCCACCUCCCUUGAGCAUGCUAAAGGGUUCGGGAUUUUUUCCAAGAUUUGUACGAAGUACACAAUGUACAUUAAUCCGUAAUAGAUCAUCCGUCGGCUCUCUCGAAAAAUAAUUCCAUACAUGUGACUUU
rnacentral:lncRNA from 1 species